rnacentral:rRNA from 1 species
AAUUGAUCUGGUCAGGACGAACGCUGGCGGCCGUGCUUAACACAUGCAAGUCGAGCGAUGAAGCGUCUUCGGAAGUGGAUUAGCGGCGGACGGGUGAGUAACACGUGGGUAACCUGGCCUCAUAGAGGGGAAUAGCCUUCCGAAAGGAAGAUUAAUACCGCAUAAGAUUGUAAUAUCGCAUGAUAUAGCAAUUAAAGGAGUAAUCCGCUAUGAGAUGGACCCGCGUCGCAUUAGCUAGUUGGUGAGGUAACGGCUCACCAAGGCGACGAUGCGUAGCCGACCUGGAGAGGGUGAUCGGCCACAUUGGGACUGAGACACGGCCCAGACUCCUACGGGAGGCAGCAGUGGGGAAUAUUGCACAGUGGGGGAAACCCUGAUGCAGCAAACCGCCGCGUGAGUGAUGACGGUCUUCGGAUUGUAAAGCUCUGUCUUCAGGGAUGAUAAUGACGGUACCUGAGGAGGAAGCCACGGCUAACUACGUGCCAGCCGCUGC